rnacentral:misc_RNA from 1 species
UCAAACUUGGUCAUUUAGAGGAAGUAAAAGUCGUAACAAGGUUUCCGUAGGUGAACCUGCGGAAGGAUCAUUAACGAAUAACCUGGUUGGGUUGAUGCUGGUUCCUUAGGGAACAAAAGUGCACGCCCACCAUCUUAAUUCUUUAAUCACCUGUGCACCCUUUGUAGACUUUUAGAAACAAUGAUGCUCGAGGCAAACUCGGGUUUCUUGAGGAUUGCUGUGUUCAAAAGUCAAAGAGCCAGCUGUUCUUGUGUUUCUCUAUAGUCUAUGUCUUUCUUUUUUCAUCAUAACACACACACCCGUAUGUCUUUGAAUGUAUUUGCUGGGCAUUUUGAAACAAAAUUGCCUCUAAAACUUUUUUAAUACAACUUUCAACAACGGAUCUCUUGGCUCUCGCAUCGAUGAAGAACGCAGC